AAGUGUUUGGGGAGCGGCUGCUUCCAGGAGAAAAGCACAAGGAAUCUCCAAAGGACUGUUCUUGCACGAGAAAUAGCAAUAGAAUUUGUUGGAAGGAUCCUCACCAUGACAUACUGGCCGUAUCAGCUGCAAAGUGCUCUGCAUUAUGGCUUUAUAUGAAUCUAUGGAUCCACCGGGACUUGGCUUAUGAGGAAAUAUGAGGUUUUUAAAGAAGCAUUUCUUGCCUCCACGGCUGAAGACACAUAUUGUUGUUUACAUCAUUCAAUGAACAAUGUGGUAGGGGAACAACAGGCUGAUACUUAUACAGGGUACAUUUACCCAGGUCCAUCUUAUUUGUUAACCAAUUAAAUGUCACCUUUAUCCUGGCCUGUGUAUAUCAGAAUAAUAGAGUUAGCUGUUAUGGGAUGUAAGAUGUAAAGCUAAGGCUGAUGCUUGUAAAACAGACAAACCCUACUGUUCUUUUCUAGAUGAUGAGUUGGGCAGAAAGCUGAGUUACUGUGAGGGAAAUUAUAGCCUAUAAUGAUAAAAAAAAAUGAUAUAUUGUCAUAACUGAAUUGGCGGUUGAGCUGCAGCUGUCAGAAUAAAUCUAAGAGAUGUGUCUGGCCAAGCAUUUAUUUUUCUUAUUUAACAGGAGAAAAAGAAACCGGGUGAUAGUGGAGCCCAACACCUAGGUGAUCUUUUCUGUUGAUACAAUUCACACAUCACAAUAAAAACACUUUAA